UACGAAGGGUGCAAGCGUUAAUUGGAAUUACUGGGCGUAAAGGGUGCGUAGGCGGUUGUUUAAGUCUGUCGUGAAAUCCCCGGGCUCAACCUGGGAAUGGCGAUGGAUACUGGGCAGCUAGAGUGUGUCAGAGGAUGGUGGAAUUCCCGGUGUAGCGGUGAAAUGCGUAGAGAUCGGGAGGAACAUCAGUGGCGAAGGCGGCCAUCUGGGACAACACUGACGCUGAAGCACGAAAGCGUGGGGAGCAAACAGG
rnacentral:rRNA from 1 species